GGCACCUGGAUGUGGGUUUUGCGCGGCAACGCAACUGAACGUGGAGACGACGGCGGGAGCCCCAGGCAGAGUUUUCUUUUCUUCUUAACAGUCCAACACCCUGAAAUCGGUUUGUCCGGAGCUAGGGUUUAGUGGCUGGAAGAGCCCAGCGCCUCUGCUGGGUCUGGUGCGCUCUCGACGUCCCUUGAAAAUCCGCGGGAAGGAAUAAUUCUCACGCUAGGUCGUACU
rnacentral:ncRNA from 1 species